GGCGAGUGAAGCGGCAACAGCUCAAAUUUGAAAGCUGGCCUUCGGGUCCGCAUUGUAAUUUGUAGAGGAUGCUUUGGGGCAGCCGCCUGUCUAAGUUCCUUGGAACAGGACGUCAUAGAGGGUGAGAAUCCCGUAUGUGACAGGACAUGGCACCCUAUGUAAAGCUCCUUCGACGAGUCGAGUUGUUUGGGAAUGCAGCUCUAAAUGGGAGGUAAAUUUCUUCUAAAGCUAAAUACCGGCGAGAGACCGAUAGCGCACAAGUAGAGUGAUCGAAAGAUGAAAAGCACUUUGGAAAGAGAGUUAAAAAGCACGUGAAAUUGUUGAAAGGGAAGCGCUUGCAAUCAGACUUGUUUUGACUGUUCGGCCGGUCUUCUGACCGGUUUACUCAGUCUGGACAGGCCAGCAUCAGUUUUGGCGGCCGGAUAAAGGCUCAGGGAAUGUGGCUCUCACUUCGGUGGGAGUGUUAUAGCCCUGGGUGUAAUACGGCCAGCCGGGACUGAGGUCCGCGCUUCGGCUAGGAUGCUGGCGUAAUGGUUGUAAGCGACC
rnacentral:rRNA from 1 species